GAAAUGCGAUAAGUAAUAUGAAUUGCAGAUUUUCGUGAAUCAUCGAAUCUUUGAACGCACAUUGCGCCCUUUGGUAUUCCAAAGGGCAUGCCUGUUUGAGCGUCAUUUCUCCUUCAAACCCCCGGGUUUGGUAUUGAGUGAUACUCUUAGUCAGACUAGGCGUUUGCUUGAAAAGUAUCGGCAUGAGUGCGCUAGAUAGUGCCUCCGAUUAUUCAAUGUAUUAGGUUUAUCCAACUCGUUGAACGGUCGGGACGUAAAUUUCUGGUAGCUGGCUCGGCCUUACAACAACAAACAAGUUUGACCUCAAAUCAGGUAAGAAUACCCGCUGAACUUAA
rnacentral:misc_RNA from 1 species